GUAACGCGUGGGAACGUACCCUUUGGUUCGGAAUAUUCUCGGGAAACUGAGAGCAAUACCGGAUAAGCCCUACGGGGGAAAGAUUUAUCGCCAAAGGAGCGGCCCGCGUCAGAUUAGGUAGUUGGUGGGGUAAAGGCCUACCAAGCCUACGAUCUGUAGCUGGUCUGAGAGGAUGAUCAGCCACACUGGGACUGAGACACGGCCCAGACUCCUACGGGAGGCAGCAGUGGGGAAUCUUGGACAAUGGGCGCAAGCCUGAUCCAGCCAUGCCGCGUGGAUGAUGAAGGCCUUAGGGUUGUAAAAUCCUUUCAACGGGGACGAUAAUGACGGUACCCGUAGAAGAAGCCCCGGCUAACUUCGUGCCAGCAGCCGCGGUAAUGCGAAGGGGGCUAGCGUUGCUCGGAAUUACUGGGCGUAAAGCGCACGUAGGCGGAUAUUUAAGUCGGAGGUGAAAGCCCAGGGCUCAACCCUGGAACUGCCCUCGAUACUGGGUAUCUGGACCAAAGUAGAGGUAAGUGGAAUUCCGAGUGUAGAGGUGAAAUUCGUAGAUAUUCGGAGGAACACCAGUGGCGAAGGCGACUUACUGGACUUUUGGUGACGCUGAGGUG
rnacentral:rRNA from 1 species